rnacentral:rRNA from 1 species
ACAUUUCGAACCCGGAAGCUAAGCCUUUCAGCGCCGAUGGUACUGCAUGGGGGACCGUGUGGGAGAGUAGGUCGCCGCCGAAC